rnacentral:misc_RNA from 1 species
CUGCUCCCAAAUUUUCUGCCAAAGCACCUUCUCGAGGAGCUCCACAGUCCGCCUACUCAACCUAAGCAAAAUGGCAACGCCGGGACCGAACUUCGAGGGGAAUCCUCCAGUGGCGCCGCAACCGCCUGGGACGGACAUGACGGGGAUAUGCUUCAGAGACCAGCUAUGGCUGAACACCUACCCUCUCGAUCGAAACUUGAUAUUCGAUUACUUCGCGUUGUCCCCUUUUUAUGAUUGGACUUGCAAUAACGAGAAGCUUCGAUUACAGUCCAUUCACCCCCUCGAUCUCUCCCAGCUCACGUAAGUAUGUUUGAUUUAACCUAUGUACGUGUGGUUCAUUUGUUGUUUUGUUCUGGAAGGCUAUGAUUUUGUUUACAAAAUCAGAAUUUCAGUUUCAGAAUCUGAAAAUAAGAGCUUUUCAAUGGAAUUUUGUUAUGGUCUGAUUGGGCAUUAUUUCUUUCUUUCUGGGUUUUUAAUAGUGGAACAUCCAAUUAUCAAAAAUUUUUGGUUAAUUUUGUGAUAAUUGAUUGGCCAUUAUUGAUCUGCAUUUUCAAACAAUUUCUAUUCAAGAACUUGAAAUUUCUUUUUAUAUAAUUUUUUUAAGGAAAAUGACGGGCAUAGAAUACAUGCUGAGUGAAGUGAUGGAACCAAAUCUCUUUGUUAUUCGUAAACAGAAAAGGGAUAGUCCUGAGAAAGUCACACCAAUGCUGACUUAUUAUAUCUUGGAUGGAUCAAUAUACCAAGCACCGCAGCUUUGCAAUGUCUUUGCAGCUCGAAUUGUAAGCUGCUUUUCUUGUUCAUAACUUUGUUGUUCAUGAAAGCUGCACUUAUUUGGAUGAGUUUUGUAUUGCAGCAUCGUUUUAACAUUUGGAAAAGGAGAAUCGAUUAAUUUCGUUAUGGUUAUCAGAGAUUUCAUUUCUAUGUCUUGCAUCACAUGUGGAACUUUAAAAAAAAAUGUAGAAUAUAUGUGGAUGAUGUUCUUAAUUGCUGAAGUCAAAGCAAGAAGUUCCAAAGCACAUAUAGCAGUAGGUUGAUAUGUUGAUUGUGCUUGUAUCAAAAGAUGAAAAAUUAAAAAGCUUUAUGAGAUCAUAUUGUUAAGAUAAUCUGAUGUCUUUUUUCAUAAGGCAUUAUUCUAAGCUAUUCUUGAUUGACUUUAACCAUGUGGCAGGGACGAGCUCUUUAUUAUAUAUCAAAGGCCUUUACUACUGCUGCUUCAAAGUUGGAAAAGAUUGGAUAUGUUGAUGAAGGGGAGGGUGUGCCUUCUGAGUCAAAAGCUGGUAAAGACGUGAUUGACUUCAAGGAAGUUAAGCGAAUAGAUCAUAUCCUUGCCUCCUUACAGCGCAAGUUACCACCAGCCCCUCCACCACCACCAUUUCCAGAUGGCUAUGUUCUUCCAACAACAGAAGCAGAGAAAGGUGCUGAAACCCAGCAAGGAGUAGAGUCACAACCCUCUGUUGAUCCAAUCAUCGACCAAGGCCCUGCCAAGCGAAUGAAGUUUUGAAUUACAAAGCUUUUGUUUUUCUCAUUAGAAAGCAGAACUAUCCAUCCAAGGAACGGAAAUUUCUUUAGGAAAGUAAGCUGUUCAACUAAUUUCACACCUCCUCCUAACUAAUCUAAAAUUCUUACAUCUGAAAUGCCAAGUACAACGUAACGAUGUAGCAUGAGGAUACGUGUGUCAAUAUUCAAUCUUACUAUUUAUGCAUACAAUACGGUGUUAGCUACGUAGCAUGGAUGAUACAUGUUGGAAGUCAAUUUAAUUCUUGUGCUAUUUGCAUCUAUUUUUCAGAAAAAUAAAAGAGUAAGCGAAGAAAUGAGUCAAGACUAAGAGUGUCGGUGCUUCAGUUUUCAGCUUGUCACGAAUUCUUUUCGGACUCCUCAAUUAAGAUGCCAAAUCCAAACAUAAUUUUUCAAAAUGAACGUGUUUGAAUUGAAGUAGCGUUAGCUGUAAACUGGUAAAAAGGUGCAAUAACUGGCUUUCUCAGAUGAAGUGGUGCAAUUGGAGGCGUUGGUUGUGGUUGUAAUUCUGAGUACACCAUUGUACCAUCCCAAGAUAUUUUUAGUUGCAUUGCAGGCUGCUGCUACAGUGGCAUUAGUUGCAUUGCAGGACACUAGAAACUGGUGUGGCAUUAGUGGAAUUCUGGACUGGACAUAGCAACCGCCUGAUAACGACGCACAAGCGAGUCUCUCUGUCCCUGUAGCUGUACUCAACACAGGUUGCCACGUCAAGUGGGACCCAGAAGAGGGGUCACGUGCCGCAAUGAAAUUGUGGUGUCCAGCGCGAAGCUGACUCAGUCAUGACUUUGUGCGGGUCCCACACGCAAUAUUAAGAAAAAAAAAUUCCCACAGAUCACAAAACGUUAUAAGAUUUGGCGUGAAGGACUCCCAAACUUUUCCACAUUGGUUUGGAGGACUCCGAAGUUUACGUCUAAUAGUUUGAACCAAAUCUAAUCCUAUAAUAUAAUUAUAUUUAUUUUUUUCUAUAACGUAAUAUUUGCAGAAAAGGAUACAUAGUAAUAAGAAAAAGAAAAAAAAUAGUAAUAAAAUAUUACAAAUCCCAAAACAUAUUGUAUUCUUGCUGUUGCCAACUUGCAU